CCCUCCCCCCCCCCAACCAAACACGCCAUAAGGUGUGAGGUAUUUUUCUCCUCCUCACUCCCUUUUCGAUGUAAAGCCUAAAUCCUAGUUGCUUCCAUUCUUUGAAUCUAUACAUCAAAACCCUUGCCUUCUUUUUUGAGCCACCUGGAGGGUCGUUUACACCAUCGACUAGGAGGAGGAGGCUCACAAGAACGAGGACCUUGUUCCUCUUGUUGAGAGUUAUAGAUCUAAGGUCGAUUCCGAGCUGUCCAAGGUGGGUGAUAAUAUCUUGAAGCUGUUGGACUCCAAUCUGAUUCCCUCCACUUCUGCUAGUGAGCUGAGGAUAUUGUUUCAUUUUGCAAGGCUGCGCAGAAAGUAAUAACUUGCUUGUAGUUACAUAUCAGAUACAGCUACCAAGGCAGACGCACAUGGUAGCUGCGGAUGUACUGGUUACUUUAUUUCCUUAUUAGGGGAUUCACCGGUAUCAUGGAGCACAAAAGUAGCAAAGUGUGGUAGCGAGGUCAUAUACUGAAGCUGAAUAGAGCCACGGUAAUCAAUAAUCAUGGUUGGCGAAGCAAUUUAAUAUUGCCAAGAUGAUUACUUAAUUGCUGAAAUACAAGCACCGCAGAUAAACCCAACGCCACUACACAUUCUACCCUCUGAUAUUCAAGACGCUUUACACAUAGCCAUGAAUCCAGUUUCUCACGUGCAAACCAAACAUGUUAAAAUGGAUUGUCAAUUACUUCGGAAGGGAAAGGAACCGGUCCAAGGAAAUCAUGCCACGUAAGAUAUACAUGGACAU